rnacentral:sRNA from 1 species
GGCUUCGGUAAGUGAGGCUACCAAAGGGAUACGGGUUGCUGCCGCGGAUUUGUGGAGACACGAUGAGCAGGUUUGAACAGUCCAUGUCGAAAUACAAGGCAUGGAAUAAUGCAACAACAUUGCCCUUAGGAGCCAAAGCUCAAACGAUGGCAG